CUACCCCUGACUGCAUCCCGGAGAUCGGGGCGGGGCUAAAUGUGGGCGGGGUCAAACGUUUAGAGGUGGGCGGAGACAACUAUUUGACUCCUGCGUCCUGCCCCUCUCAAUGGAACCAGGAAACCGCUAUGCUAUGUGUGUGUGCAAUGCUGUAGCCGGGACAGAGGGAAGUAGCUGCCAAAAUGGAGGUAAGCUAGGAUUUUUCUUUCUCUGUUUUAACAAUAUCGAGGACCAAUGUUGGGCGAACGUUUUAUAAACUUGGAAAUUAAAGUUUUUUUCCCAUUAUGAGUUUUAGAUGAUACAUAUAGCCUAUUUUACACAUGCGGGGCGACUUACUUUUGAGGAGAAAUGUUUACAGGGUUCCCACGGAGUCUUAAAAGCAUUGAAUUUAUGAAUUUGGAAGUAAUACCUUUAAAAGACUGGAGAAACCCUUCAAUUUUGGCAUCUGGGUCUUAAAAUUUGUGUUGGAUGUAAGUUUUCUGUACUGCAUUUUUCUUCUGAAGUUCAUCAAAAUAUUCCAAACAAGUGAUGACUCCAAGAGAAGCACUAUUUUUAGACAUUUAUUUCAAUUUUGUGUCUUUACUGUUUGCACUGUUGCUUUUAUACAAUAGAAAUACUGCAAGAAAUUAGGGUAAUAAAAUUAGCAAUAAUAAAAAAAAAUGUCUUAAAAUUAAACUAAAAUAUAGGCAACAAAAAUUAUUAAGGUUCUAAUGUCCAACCAGAUCGGUUAUAUUUUUAACCAUUUGUUUAAAAAUAUAACCGAUCUUCUACCAAGUGCCCACCCAGUGUUUUGUCAAAAUAUAUUGGUAAAGUUGUAUAGAUAAAUAAAUGAAAUUAGUUCAAUAAUUUUAUUUUAUUUAUUUACUUUUUUGCUGAUAGUGCCGUGAAAUAGGUAUUAAUUUUCCAUAUGGCUUUAGAAAGAUCUUAGACUUAAAUUUAAGUUGAAGAAACCUGUAGGAACACUUUUAUAGAUUUGGGGAGAUAUGUUGUGUGGUCAUGAUUACUUUUUGGUGGAAAUAUAUUUUACAGGGGGAAAUAUGUUAGUUUUUUAAGCUUUUUAUGUUCGUAUCUGAGUUCUACACCUGAUUGGGCUUUAUUAUUAUGGUUAGAGUGCUAAUCUGAUGUGUGUAAUUAUAUAAACGUUUUGCUCAUUCAAGUGUCAACAGAAUAACAUGAAUGUUUUCAUAGUGAAUUAAUGUUGUCAUUGUAUCACCAAGGUCUGAGGAAGACAGAGUGCAGGCACGGAAAAGACGGAGAGAGGAAAGAGUAAAACAGGGCCUGGAAGUGGUCCCUCCUAAGAAGUCCUGCCAUACUGAAUGAGUCUGUGCAGCAUCAGGAGAAUUCUCUGCUUGAGGACACCUUUGAGGCAGCAAGGUGGUGUACCACAAGGUCCUUCAAAGGAAGCCUUUCCCUUCCCCAGGUCAUCACCAUGGACAGGGAAGCUUGCCGGAGGGCAGUGGAGAGGUCAUGCUUCUGUGAUGGCCUGGAUGAAGAGGAGAUGAACGAUUGCAGGGAACCGUUCCUGUUCAUGUUUAGUUUUCAGUCAGACUAUGAGGAGUUCUGCAGAGAAAUUGAGGAAAAAAGGAAGAUGAAGGUGUUUUCUGGUUUUGAAAUGCCAUAGUACAGCGGUGUCACAGUUUUUGCAUUCUUUUUCCUCCUCACAUUGUUUUUUUGGAGGUUCUCUUGUUUUUUGUGUGCUUUUUGGUUCAUUUGUUUGUACUUUUUUUUAUUCCUGUGUUGGCUGUUGUUUGCUCUAUUAAAUUUACCUUUUUUGAAAAAUUUA